UACAGAGGGUGCAAGCGUUAAUCGGAAUUACUGGGCGUAAAGCGCACGCAGGCGGUUGGUUAAGUCAGAUGUGAAAGCCCCGGGCUCAACCUGGGAAUUGCAUUUGAAACUGGCCAACUAGAGUAUGUGAGAGGGGGGUAGAAUUCCAAGUGUAGCGGUGAAAUGCGUAGAGAUUUGGAGGAAGACCAGUGGCGAAGGCGGCCCCCUGGCACAAUACUGACGCUCAGGUGCGAAAGCGUGGGGAGCAAACAGG
rnacentral:rRNA from 1 species